rnacentral:tRNA from 1 species
GCGCUUGUAGCUAGUGGAUAGAGCGUCUGUGGAUAGUAACCAGAAAGUCACAGGUUCGAACCCUGUCCAGAGCG